GCAAAUAUCCCGUCUCUAAAGCUGAAAUACACUAAAGGAGGCUCUUAAAUAAUUUCUCUCUGAAAGCCCUAGAAUUCCUAAAACUCACAAAUUGCUCGUCUCUCAGAAGGUGGGAGCAAAACCUUCUUGUCUACCACUGCUAUUCUACAUCAAGAGAGAAUGACUAUUCUAAUUGUUGAAGAUACCAAGUAUUGCUAACAAGUCAAGUUGUAGAAAAAGAAGACUUGGAUACAAGUUGACAAGUUUCUUAGUUAUUUUUCUUGUAUUAGGUGAAUAAUUGUGUAAAAAAUACAAUGACUUAUGUUAUUGUUAUAUAAUUUUGGUAUUGCGAUUUU